CUUCCCCCUGCCUCUCUCUCUUCCGCCUCAUGUGAAGGUGUGUGCUUCCUCUUUGUCCUUCUACCAUAAUUGUAAGUUUCCUGAGGCCUCCCAGCCAUCCUUCCCGUUAAGCCUGCAGAACUUGUUCCAAAAAGAAAGUCAGAAAGAGAAAUUUGGAGCAGAAUGCACUACACGGCUUUCUCCUGAGUAUGAAGUGUUUGCCUAGCUUCUUCAAAUGGAGCGGAUAUUGAACAAGAAGAAAACACAGAUUACUAUCUCAGCAGGAUGGAUGACUCUAUCAUGAUCCUCAUGAAAUCAGGUCUACGUAGGGUGUCUCGCCAAAUGCCACACCUCUUCCUGGAUUUACACACACACACAGAUUAAGCCUACAAUUACUCAAACUAAAACAUCUUAAAUUUGUGAUUUUGUGACCCUCUUUAUUUAUGGAGGAAAAUGAAAGGAGAGGGUGAGAGGGAGUCUUCUGAGGUGCAAAACAAAAAAGGAAAGACACCAGCAACCUUUCUGACCCACUGCCCUUGAUGUGGAAGGCACUGUCACAGGAAAGGCAGAAUCUUCUUUUUUCUCUCACAUGUCUAUAACCAAAGUGGCAUUUCUAUAUCAUUUUCAAGUUAAACCUCUACUUAGAAAAGCUUAGUGUAUGUUGUUUGGAAUGAACCAAACCCCAAUAAUGUAUACUUAUGCCAGGGUCAAUAACAACUUUAACUUCCAAAAAAGAAAAACAAAAAGAAAAACAAAUAAAAUGGAUCAAAUCUGUAGUUGGAGAUAGAUGUUGGCAUGUUGAGUUUCACUAACCCAGUGUUAGUGGGAAAAGUCUAUUUUUGGCAUAACAUUUUAGUGUCUCCCUUAUCGUGUUGACACAUUUUUAUCAACCCCUUGGACAUCUGCAAGGUACAACAAAAUAAAAUGGCAUUUCUUCAAAUGGAUGUUAUAAUUAAAACUUUAUGUAGUUCUUUAGUGCUACAAUAUUUACAUUGAAACACUAAAUUGAAUGUUUUCAUCUCAUUCAAUGUAUAUUCAUCAGAUACUCCUUCAAAAAUAUGCUAUUCUUUUCAGAAAAAAAUGGUAUUUGUAGUAUCAGAGACUUUUUGUAUAUGUUUAUUAAUUUGGCUGUAUAUUUCUCCUUCAUAAAUGUAAUCCUAUCUAGUCAUGUUUACAGAAGAAAUUAGACAAAAGCUUAGCUAGCUCAGUAACUGAAAAAGAGACACAAGUCUUGUACCAAGUUAUGAUAUCAUCUUUAUCUCAUAUUUAGUUCACAUCUAUGAGAAAUUUAUAGAUCAGUGCUACAUUACUUUAAGAUAAUUAAAAUUGAUAUAAUUACUUUCCUUAAACAGGUAAUACUGUGAUGGAUUAAACAAGACCACUGACUACAAAUAUAUCAGAUAUGUUUGUAUGUGUUUGUAUCUUAGAUUAUAUAUUUAAUUGCAUAAUACAUUUGGCCUAACUGGGUCAAAUUGAAUGAAUUCAGGUGGAAUGUUUUGGUAGAUAGUUUUACAUGAUUAUACAAAAUUAGGAAACAGCUACUUAACAGGAUAAAAUUUUACUAGGAGUUAAGGGAAAAGAAAAAACAGUGAUUUGGGACCCAAUGCAGUAUAUACUAAAAGUAAUUAAAAGAGGUUGUCAGUGGUGAAGGGAAAUCAGUAUUACAAAUCAAACAAGGCAAAAGCAAGAGGAAAACAAUCAAAGACUAGAAUUAUGAGUCUAACUGAAAAGACUAGUUAGGUUGAGUGAAAUCAAGGUGAUAAAAUGACAAUAACACAAAAGACACGUUAAAACAUUUGGGGUUACUCAAUUCCUCAAAUUAAAUGGUUAUGAUGUAUUAUAUUAAGAGACUUAUUAGACAUUAAAACUUAAAAGUGACAUAGAAGCUUUCAGAGGAGAAAAGGGAACACAGUUUGAGGUGCCAGCAUUUUCACAGUAAAUCUUAGGAAGAGGGAAUUUCAGAAUGCAGAUUUCACAACUUUCAAUUAUCUCUUAACAUUGUCUAUAAUGGAAGCACAGGAAAAGUAAAGCAGAACUUUCUUAAAUGUUGAACAGAACUUCUUACUGUGAAUCUAUGAACCAUUGUUUGUAGAACUUGACUACGUUUCAAUUAUAAUAACAGGUACAUUUCCCAAAAGAGAAUUACUACUUAACUCUGACUAAGGGGUUCCAGGGCCAAUUUAUAAUCACUUUAGGCCAACCAAUUUCCCCUUUGUCCAUCUGGGCAAAGCUAUGGUCACAGCUUUGCAGACAGCAGGUGCCCAUGUGGUAUGGCUGGGAGCCUUUCCUGGCUCCUGUGUCACUGCUCCUCUUCAGAGGAAUUUGGAUGAAGACACAAAAGUAUAAUCUUUCAAGUUUCAUGCUUUUCCCCUCAAAGGCAAGAAACCAGGAAAGAAUUACUGAAUCAUGUAUUCAGCAAGUUGUUGACUCCCUUGCUUAGUCUUAUGUUUAUGGUAGCUUCCAUUACAUUUUAACUCUAUUUUUAAGCUAACCUUUUAACUUUAUCUAACUGUCUCAUUCUUCAUCUUCAUUACUUCAAGGAUCAAGUUGACCAUUGAAGUCGGCCAUUCUGAUCAAAUCUCAGACCAAUUUAAAAUUCUCCAAAGAUUCCCCACUAGAUGUAUCCUGAACUUCAGAUUCCCUAUGAUAUCACAUGAGGCCUCCCUGACCUGGCCCCCAUGUUCUUCUGUAGUCUAGUCUCUAACCACAAUCUCUUUAACCUAUGAUUAAAUUUUUCCAGUAUAUAGAAAUAGUAUAACUGCUGAAUAUCUUAAUGGAUAAAUGGACACUAGACUGGCUCCAUUACCAUUGUUCAAGCACCUUUAUGAACUACAUGUCUGCUAAUAAACUUUUCAUUCCUUUCUCUCCAUCUAGCAAAAUUCUGUUCAGCCCAGAGUUUAUCAUAGUAUCUGAUGAAUACUAGCUACUUAACAUGUGUUGAAUGAAUAAGUUAAAACUUCUCCCAAGUCAAAUUCUACUUUCUUCAUAUGGUAUGUCCUCAUCUCCAUCUAGAAGUAAUUUCUCCCUAUGUUGAGUCCCCCAAGUAUUUAUUUUUAAGAAGAUUUGUAUGGCCACAUUGUGUAUAUUCUCUAUAUUUAUUAGGAAAUAUUUAAACAUUUUAUUUUUUAAAUAAAGACUAUAUCUUGUUUCCUCAGACUAUAAGUUUUAAAAUUCUUCAUAAUUUUAAUUAUAUUUUUCUUUGCCUCUUUCACAGAUUAUCAGUGUUCAAUAAUUGUGAUUUGAAUGGCAUUAUGCAGAAGAAAAAUACAUUCUAUCUGUCUCAAGUUAAUGGUGACAAUGAGGAUAUAAGAGGUUGAACCAAACAUGCCUUCAUUAAGCUACAGAACAAUUAUUAAGGACAAGAUGAAUAAAUAUCAGAUAAUAUGUUGAAAUCUGUACAUAUAAAGUGCUGUGGGCAUGCAAAACAUUGAAUUUAUUAGAGAAGUGAGGAAGAUUUAGGAUUUUCUAUGAGGUAUGGGUUUAAACAUUCUCUUGAAUCAGGAUUACUGGAAAAUCAUGAAGAGGGAAUUCCAUGAGGGUUUAUAGCACGAAUGUAAGAAUUACCAAAAGAGUUAUAAGGAAGAACAAGCAAAGUCAUUUGGCCUGAUGAGAGAAGUCAUGUUGAAAGUUAAGAAAAUAUGGGGUCAGCAAGAUAGAAAUGAGCGUUCAAUAGAACAUUUUUUUAAAAAGUUCUAGGAGCUAAGAGAGAGAGAGUUCUGCUUAUUUUCUAAUAGUGAAUUCUAUUCCAGUGACUAAAGUGUGACUGAGGUUUCAGAAGGAACUGGAACCUUCUUCAA
rnacentral:lncRNA from 10 species